GAGUUUGAUCCUGGCUCAGAACGAACGCUGGCGGCGUGGAUAAGACAUGCAAGUCGAACGGGAGAAUUGCUAGCUUGCUAAUAAUUCUCUAGCGGCGCACGGGUGAGUAACACGUGAGUAACCUGCCCCCGAGAGCGGGAUAGCCCUGGGAAACUGGGAUUAAUACCGCAUAGUAUCGAAAGAUUAAAGCAGCAAUGCGCUUGGGGAUGGGCUCGCGGCCUAUUAGUUAGUUGGUGAGGUAACGGCUCACCAAGGCGAUGACGGGUAGCCGGUCUGAGAGGAUGUCCGGCCACACUGGAACUGAGACACGGUCCAGACACCUACGGGUGGCAGCAGUCGAGAAUCAUUCACAAUGGGGGAAACCCUGAUGGUGCGACGCCGCGUGGGGGAAUGAAGGUCUUCGGAUUGUAAACCCCUGUCAUGUGGGAGCAAAUUAAAAAGAUAGUACCACAAGAGGAAGAGACGGCUAACUCUGUGCCA
rnacentral:rRNA from 1 species